UACAGAGGUCCCGAGCGUUGUUCGGAUUCACUGGGCGUAAAGGGUGCGUAGGCGGUUUGGUAAGUCUGAUGUGAAAUCUAUGGGCUCAACUCAUAGUCUGCAUCGGAAACUGCCGGGCUUGAGUGUGGGAGAGGUGAGUGGAAUUCCUGGUGUAGCGGUGAAAUGCGUAGAUAUCAGGAGGAACACCUGUGGCGAAGGCGGCUACCUGGCAUGAUACUGACACUGAGGCGCGGAGAGCGUGGGGAGCAAACAGG
rnacentral:rRNA from 1 species